AACGAACGCUGGCGGCAGGCCUAACACAUGCAAGUCGAACGAAGCCUUCGGGCUUAGUGGCGGACGGGUGAGUAACACGUGGGAACGUACCUUUUGGUUCGGAAUAACGCAGAGAAAUUUGCGCUAAUACCGAAUGAGCCCUUAGGGGGAAAGAUUUAUCGCCGAAAGAUCGGCCCGCGUUGGAUUAGGUAGUUGGUGUGGUAAAGGCGCACCAAGCCUACGAUCCAUAGCUGGUCUGAGAGGAUGAUCAGCCACACUGGGACUGAGACACGGCCCAGACUCCUACGGGAGGCAGCAGUGGGGAAUCUUGCGCAAUGGGCGGAAGCCUGACGCAGCCAUGCCGCGUGAAUGAUGAAGGUCUUAGGAUUGUAAAAUUCUUUUACCAGGGACGAUAAUGACGGUACCUGGAGAAAAAGCCCCGGCUAACUCCGUGCCAGCCGCCGCUGUAACAC
rnacentral:rRNA from 1 species